GAUGAACGCUGGCGGUGUGCCUAAUACAUGCAAGUCGAGCGAACAGACGAGGAGCUUACUCCUCUGACGUUAGCGGCGGACGGGUGAGUAACACGUGGAUAACCUACCUAUAAGACUGGGAUAACUUCGGGAAACCGGAGCUAAUACCGGAUAACAUGUUGAACCGCAUGGUUCAACAGUGAAAGACGGUCUUGCUGUUACUUAUAGAUGGAUCCGCGUCGCAUUAGCUAGUUGGUAAGGUAACGGCUUACCAAGGCAACGAUGCGUAGCCGACCUGAGAGGGUGAUCGGCCACACUGGAACUGAGACACGGUCCAGACUCCUACGGGAGGCAGCAGUAGGGAAUCUUCCGCAAUGGGCGAAAGCCUGACGGAGCAACGCCGCGUGAGUGAAGAAGGUCUUCGGAUCGUAAAACUCUGUUAUUAGGGAAGAACAAAUGUGUAAGUAACUAUGCACGUCUUGACGGUACCUAAUCAGAAAGCCACGGCUAACUACGUG
rnacentral:rRNA from 1 species